rnacentral:lncRNA from 1 species
UUUCAAGUGAAAAUAACCAAACCAAGAAUAGAAAUAAAGAAUCCCCAGCCAAGUAGCCGUGUUGUCCUGCAUUCCCCCCAAACCGGCAUUCCCCGGUGCUGGGAUCUCGGUCCCCGGGCGAGAGAAAGAGCUGCAAAGGGUUAAGCCGCUGACUUGCUUGCUAGGCAAAGUUUGAGGAAGAAUAUGUCUGAGGCUGGAUACGCUGCAGCCCCGCGUUUGAAAUCUGUCACCCUCACUUAGGAGCGCCGCAUCUCGGGUUGUCACCGGUGAAUAAUGGUCGCACGGCGAUAACAUCGCUCGGCGGCGGUGCGCCGGGGCCGCCCGCGGGAAGAGAAGACAGGAAAUUGCCAGGCGUUUAGCCGCUUCAACGGCGUGUUCUUCAGUGUCAUCGGUGGGUGUCAGGGUCAAAUGACCGGCUGGAGAGCACUUUGGGAAGAUAAUUUCUUUCCUCCUUUCCUUGAAAGCAGCAACCUUGGGUGUUGGUGACCAUUGGCAGCUAUGGAAAACAGAGACCUCGGUGGUGAUCCUUAAAACAGUACCAUGCUGGAGCCCAGCUGUUCUGCCACUUUCUCCCCUUUCAACUUGCCGGACCCGGUGGGCUUUGGGUGACCUACCGAGAAGGAACUCACUUCCACAGAAGCAGGCAGGCUAGAUCUGGCAGAUAGCGGCUAUGAGGACUUUGCUGACUUCAGAAAGCUGACAGAAACCAACAGACUUCACUGAAAUACCCCUCCAAGCACAGAGACUUUUCGUAGCUUUAAAGUAACCUGUUGUUCAUCAGCGAAGACAUGGCUAAUGGUUCUUUCAGCACACAUGGAGGAAGGCAACAAAAAUUGUAACCCUGGCUAAUAAGACUGUGUUUUCCUUAUCAAAAGUAGGAGGCAGGCCAAUUAUAAAAGGAUUAUUUCAUGCUUAGCCUCCAGGACUUUAACUCUGGCCUGAACACUGGACAUAAGUAGAAGCCAAUUUUAAUGACCUGAGAUUUUGUUACCUGUGCAUUAUUAUUGUUAUCAGUUCUUAAACACUUUGGUAC